GGGUGCUUGCAAGUAGAAUAGACUACGUUAAUAGGUUGUGAUAACAUAUACACACCAUUGUUCAAAUAUCCAUAAAAAAUAGUAACACCAUUCAUAAUGUUAUUACAAACUUGUUUUUUUAUUAAAAUUUCAUAAUCAUUUUUGGUCAGAAGGCCUACAAAAAUAAUAUUUAAAAAGAAACUGGGAUAGAAAUGACAAUCAUUAAGAACAACAAUAUGGGACUUAAAUAUAAGUUUCAAGAUUCUUAAUGCUAGAACUGGAACUAGUCUUCCAUCUCCAACAUUUAGGAACACUUCGCCUUGCUCGAAUCUCCUACUNNNN
rnacentral:lncRNA from 1 species